CUGGCUCUCGCCUCAGCCUUCUGCUGUGCCCCCAGAGCCACCUCUGGUCUCUCCGGCAGGCUCCGGGAUAUUGUGCCACGGUCAGAGAUGACCAGAUCCAUGGUAGUGGCUGCCUGGCAGUGGCAAGGAGGCGAGAGGAGCAAAAAGACGAGGAACUGAAGUCACAGCCUCUCCUCCAGUACCAGAAUAAAACCCACAGCUGGACACAGCCUAUGCAUAGUAACAGAAACCCAGAGCAGACUGCCUGGAGAGCUGCUGCUCCUUGAACCUUGACAGCACGAGCUCAGCAUCGUGAGGAGCCGCUCAGCAGCAGCUGGAAUUCAGCACACGCCGCCCUCGCUACGGAGCUCCCAU